UAAAAAAAAUUUUUAACUCAUUUGAAGAAGGAGGAAGUAAAGGCACAGGAAGUCAGAUAGCUUGCUCUUGGUCCCAGCGAGGUAAAGCGGUCCGCGAGAGCCCAAGUCCUUCACCCCAAAGGUCCCCAGACGACAAGGGGACAGUGCAGACGACACAACCAAGAGUAAAACACCUGUGUAGACACAGAAGGAUUUAAGAACAGGGAGGUGUAAAGGAAGAGAAAGAAGUUCCAGAAGAUCUAAAUCAAAAGGCUGAGAAAAACAUGAAAUGUCUCUUCUCACCACGCAACAUGCCCUGCUCCUGGCUGAUGACAAUUAACGCUGAACCCUCGCUUCAAGGCUCUUCCACAUACAGGACUUCCAAGGUCUGCUCCUGUCUCUCAUGGUUGCAAACACUGAGGAAACAAUUUUAUGUCAUAGCUCUAAGGGGAUCCACACAUACACCUUUGAGGUGACAAGCAGAGCCUGAGUUACUGAAAGAGGUUGGCCUAAAAAGAUUGCACUAGAUGUGA